rnacentral:rRNA from 1 species
CCCUAUUAUAGUUAAUGUAAAAUUAAUUUUGAGUAGUAUAUGUUUUGGGCAGGAAACUUAAAGAAUUUGGCGGUAUAUAUUCUAAUUAGAGGAAUAUGUUUUUUAAUUGAUGUUUCACAAAUAUCUUACUUAAUUUAAUUUAUUUUGUAUAUCUCCGUCUUAAAAAGAUAUUUAUAAAUAUUUUUUUUAUAUUACAAUAUAAAACAAGUCAGGUCAAGAUGCAGAUUAUAUUUAAGUUAAAAUGUAUUACAAUAAAUUUAUUUUUGGAUUAACUCUGGAAUAUGGUUAUGAAAUUGGAUUUGUAAGUAAAUUUUCUUAUCAUAGUCUAUUGAAUCAUGUUAAUAUAUAUGCACACAUC